CCUAACGCUCCAACGGUCUUUCAUUCUCACUUAGAGAAGAUCGAUGUGUGUGGUGGGAGUAGUGGGAGGUCCUAGGGUAGGCGCUUUCACUGUAGGUCUAUACUGCGGUAACGGACUAGCCUUGUGUAUGGUCGGGUGGAACCCCUCGGCAAUGGCUUUGCAAAGCAGUAGGGCCAUCACAAGUGCACAACCCGCCCCAGCUCUACAUUCAUUCUAUGUCCGGACGUGUCUAGGAGUCUUCGCAUGAUAAGAUGAUUGAUCGGUUAAAUUAUGAACUAAGUGCCUG
rnacentral:lncRNA from 1 species